UGGGGAAUAUUGCACAAUGGGCGCAAGCCUGAUGCAGCCAUGCCGCGUGUAUGAAGAAGGCCUUCGGGUUGUAAAGUACUUUCAGUCGGGAGGAAGGUGUCAAGGUUAAUAACCUUGGCAAUUGACGUUACCGACAGAAGAAGCACCGGCUAACUCCGUGCCAGCAGCCGCGGUAAUACGGAGGGUGCAAGCGUUAAUCGGAAUUACUGGGCGUACAGCGCACGCAGGCGGUUGAUUGAGUCAGAUGUGAAAUCCCCGGGCUUAACCCGGGAAUUGCAUCUGAUACUGGUCAGCUAGAGUCUUGUAGAGGGGGGUAGAAUUCCAUGUGUAGCGGUGAAAUGCGUAGAGAUGUGGGGGAAUACCGGUGGCGGAGGCGGCCCCCUGGACAAAGACUGACGCUCAGGUGCGAAAGCGUGGGGGGCAAACAGG
rnacentral:rRNA from 1 species